ACCUGUCAAUUAUCAAGAGUUUUCUUUGCUUCAGAGGAGCUCUUUUGAGGAGAGAGAUCAAGUCACGUGGAAAUUUUCUUCCCUCUCUAUAACUGUAAGCUGCCAGUAACCCUUCAGAGCUCUGGGUCUCAGUGAAUCAUCAAUUGAGAGUCUCUAUACAAGAAAAGAAACGACAUGAACUUUAUUGGACAUCAUAAAUAUGAGACUUGGAUGAUGCGAAGUGCAGAGUUGGAAUAAGAA
rnacentral:lncRNA from 1 species